UGAUAUGUUUGAUAUUCUUGGUUGUGGCCUGACUUCAACCGAGGAUCAGACAUAUGCUU
rnacentral:pre_miRNA from 1 species